rnacentral:rRNA from 1 species
GACGAACGCUGGCGGCGUGCUUAACACAUGCAAGUCGUACGGUAAGGCCCUUUCGGGGGUACACGAGUGGCGAACGGGUGAGUAACACGUGAGUAACCUGCCCACAACUUUGGGAUAACGCUAGGAAACUGGUGCUAAUACUGGAUAUGUGCUCCUGCUGCAUGGUGGGGGUUGGAAAGCUCCGGCGGUUGUGGAUGGACUCGCGGCCUAUCAGCUUGUUGGUGGGGUAGUGGCCUACCAAGGCGGCGACGGGUAGCCGGCCUGAGAGGGUGACCGGCCACAUUGGGACUGAGAUACGGCCCAGACUCCUACGGGAGGCAGCAGUGGGGAAUAUUGCACAAUGGGCGCAAGCCUGAUGCAGCAACGCCGCGUGCGGGAUGACGGCCUUCGGGUUGUAAACCGCUUUCAGCAGGGACGAAGCUUUUUGUGACGGUACCUGCAGAAGAAACACCGGCGAACUACGG